rnacentral:rRNA from 1 species
GACGAACGCUGGCGGCGUGCUUAACACAUGCAAGUCGAACGAUGAACUUGGAGCUUGCUCUGGGGGAUUAGUGGCGAACGGGUGAGUAACACGUGAGUAACCUGCCCUGGACUCUGGGAUAACUUCGAGAAAUCGGAGCUAAUACCGGAUAGGACCUUGCACCGCAUGGUGUGGGGUGGAAAGUUUUUCGGUUUGGGAUGGACUCGCGGCCUAUCAGCUUGUUGGUGAGGUAAUGGCUCACCAAGGCGUCGACGGGUAGCCGGCCUGAGAGGGUGACCGGCCACACUGGGACUGAGACACGGCCCAGACUCCUACGGGAGGCAGCAGUGGGGAAUAUUGCACAAUGGGCGCAAGCCUGAUGCAGCAGCGCCGCGUGCGGGAUGACGGCCUUCGGGUUGUAAACCGCUUUUAGUAGGGAAGAAGCGAAAGUGACGGUACCUGCAGAAAAAGCACCGGCUAACUACGUGCCAGCCGCCGCAGUAACAC